UCUUUGCUUGCUAUAUGGAUUGUACGUUCCUGAUUGGGAGUAUCAAAUUCAAACAGAACCUUCUUCAGAGCCAAAGACAUUUUCUGUGAGUAUUGAUGUCUUGUGUUGCUUUAAGUUUAUUCGAAAGAAUCUAGCUUCUGGUAUUGGUAUAAAACGAAAUAAAUGUGAUUUGUUAGGUUAAAUGUGGAGUAAGGGGUGACACUG
rnacentral:lncRNA from 1 species